GACGAACGCUGGCGGCGUGCUUAACACAUGCAAGUCGAACGGAAAGGCCCUGCUUUUGUGGGGUGCUCGAGUGGCGAACGGGUGAGUAACACGUGAGUAACCUGCCCUUGACUUUGGGAUAACUUCAGGAAACUGGGGCUAAUACCGGAUAGGAGCUCCUGCUGCAUGGUGGGGGUUGGAAAGUUUCGGCGGUUGGGGAUGGACUCGCGGCUUAUCAGCUUGUUGGUGGGGUAGUGGCUUACCAAGGCUUUGACGGGUAGCCGGCCUGAGAGGGUGACCGGCAACAUUGGGACUGAGAUACGGCCCAGACUCCUACGGGAGGCAGCAGUGGGGAAUAUGGCACAAUGGGCGGAAGCCUGAUGCAGCAACGCCGCGUGCGGGAUGACGGCCUUCGGGUUGUAAACCGCUUUCGCCUGUGACGAAGCGUGAGUGACGGUAAUGGGUAAAGAAGCACCGGCUAACUACGUG
rnacentral:rRNA from 1 species